AGCAUUCAGGAUGCACAGAACAUGUGUGAUGCCAACCCAGCAUGUGAAUCAAUCGUCAUCUACAGCUCACAGCCAGAGACUGAAAACCUGAUGACAAUAAUACUGAAGAACUCCAGCGCCUCCAACCCCCAGCUGUCUGCAGGAACCACGCUGUUCAUACGUCGGGGGGGCGGGGAAAACAAAACAGGUCAACAACGAUGAGCCUAACAACAAUCGACAGGACAACACUAUCAACAAUGACAAUAACGGUCAGAGCAAUAACCAGAACAACAAGAAUGGUGAUGAACAAAAAAAGGAGCAGUCACAUGACCAGAAUGAUGGCAGAGCGCCACCUGCUGGGCAGCAGCCUAUGUCACGUGACACAUGUGUUAAGCGAAGCUUUAUGAGCCAUGAGGAGGCUUACAAGAGUCGAGAGAGGAGGCUUAUGACACACCUGGGACUAAAAGGCUACCGAGAGACUGACUGGUUCAGGGCCGUUGUGAGUGGGUCAGUGGCGUCUGUGUCUGGCAUCCUUCCAGCCACCGGGAACCAGCCCAAGGGUGGCAAGGCGGUGCUCAAGUUCAUCCCUAGUAGUGAGCAAAUGCCGGUGUCCAAGGCUCUGUUUAUUUCUGAGAGAGGCCCAGAACAAUUCCACAGCUCGUACGCCAUCGUCUACCAACUCGACAGACUACUU